rnacentral:rRNA from 1 species
GAUGAACGCUGGCGGCGUGCCUAAUACAUGCAAGUCGAGCGAACAGAUGAGGAGCUUGCUCCUCUGACGUUAGCGGCGGACGGGUGAGUAACACGUGGAUAACCUACCUAUAAGACUGGGAUAACUUCGGGAAACCGGAGCUAAUACCGGAUAAUAUAUUGAACCGCAUGGUUCAAUAGUGAAAGACGGUUUUGCUGUCACUUAUAGAUGGAUCCGCGCCGCAUUAGCUAGUUGGUAAGGUAACGGCUUACCAAGGCAACGAUGCGUAGCCGACCUGAGAGGGGGAUCGGCCACACUGGAAGUGAGACACGGUCCAGACUCCUACGGGAGGCAGCAGUAGGGAAUCUUCCGCAGUGGGCGAGAGCCUGACGGAGCAACGCCGCGUGAGUGAUGAAGGUCUUCGGAUCGUAAAACUCUGUUAUUAGGGAAGAACAAAUGUGUAAGUAACUAUGCACGUCUUGACGGUACCGAAUCAGAAAGCCACGGCUAACUACGUG